GCCAGUGUGGUGCCGUGGUUUGACUGUUGGACUACAACUCUACAGAUCAGGGUUCAAAUCCCCACUCAGCCA